GUGGGGAAUAUUGGACAAUGGGGGGAACCCUGAUCCAGCCAUGCCGCGUGUGUGAAGAAGGCCUUUUGGUUGUAAAGCACUUUAAGCGAGGAGGAGGCUACCGAGAUUAAUACUCUUGGAUAGUGGACGUUACUCGCAGAAUAAGCACCGGCUAACUCUGUGCCAGCAGCCGCGGUAAUACAGAGGGUGCAAGCGUUAAUCGGAUUUACUGGGCGUAAAGCGCGCGUAGGUGGCCAAUUAAGUCAAAUGUGAAAUCCCCGAGCUUAACUUGGGAAUUGCAUUAGAGACUGGUUGGCUAGAGUAUGGGAGAGGAUGGUAGAAUUCCAGGUGUAGCGGUGAAAUGCGUAGAGAUCUGGAGGAAUACCGAUGGCGAAGGCAGCCAUCUGGCCUAAUACUGACACUGAGGUGCGAAAGCAUGGGGAGCAAACAGGAUUAGAUACCCCGGUAGUCC
rnacentral:rRNA from 1 species